CCAAUCAGCACGGAGCUCGAAUUCCCCUGACAUGCCACAGCAUCUUUUCUGCGGUGACAUCACACGACCCUUUAAAACGUUUAAAUGGCCUGAUGGGAUCAUGAGAGGUCACGACCAGAGAAACAAACACGGUGCAGGUUUAUCAGUGAGGAGAAUCACUACCAUCUCUAAACGACUCAGACGUUUCACUCUUAUCAAGCUCACUACAGAUCUGGUUUGCACAGAUGCCCCGCCCCAAUGAAGCUCAGGCUGCUCCGAUUGGCCAGCUGGCCCACUCUUUUGUGAUUGGUCAACAACUUCCAACGUGAGUAGGGCAUGUCGACGAACAUAAUGCAGAUCUGAAGCAUCGUGUCACAUGACAUCACGGAAACGUCAGCCGGACUUCUGACACAGCGUUCCAGGAGCUUCAGCGUUUUCUAACCGCAGACUUUUUAAACUUUAGUCAACUUUUACAUUCACAACAAAACCCACAACACACUGGAGAAACACUGAAAAGCCUCAUGUCUCCUUUUAUUUGUGUCAUUAGUUUCAUGAGGUCAAUGCAAUCCGACAGGUUGACAUCACUCUGAGGGGGAUUCAUGAAUAUUGUCCCUGAUAAAUAAAUGGAUAAAUUAAAUCAAGUUAAUUAAAAAUGUUCUGUGUACCUUCAUUGUU